CCCUUCGGGGAGCUCGGAGACAGGUGCUGCAUGGCUGCCGUCAGCUCGUGCCGUGAGGUGUUGGGUUAAGUCCCGCAACGAGCGCAACCCCCGCCGUUAGUUGCCAGCGGUUCGGCCGGGCACUCUAACGGGACUGCCACGUAAGGUGAGAGGAAGGUGGGGAUGACGUCAAAUCAGCAGGCCCUUAUGUCCAGGGCUACACACGUGUUACAAUGGCCAGUACAAAGGGCAGCUACCGGGUGACCGGAUGCUAAUCUCUAAAGCUGGUCUCAGUUCGGAUCGAAGUCUGCAACCCGACUUCGUGAAGCUGGAUUCGCUAGUAAUCGCGCAUCAGCCAUGGCGCGGUGAAUACGUUCCCGGGCCUU
rnacentral:rRNA from 1 species